GCGUGAGAGGCUGCGGCUCCGUGCGCGCGCCCUGUCGCGGAGGGGAACAGCGGGCGCGCGGGUCCUGCCUGGAGCCGGCCGCGCGUGGGUUGGAGUUAGCAGAGCGGGGUGCGCCCGGAGCUGGUGCAGGGCAGCGGGCCGGGGCGGGGGCGCGGACACAGGGUGCAUGUCCCGUAGUGAUGCUGUGCCAGCCCGUGCGUUUGCUGCCCAUGGGCCGUUGGUUUGUGUGUGGGGGGGGGUUUCCCUUUGCAAUGCGAGAUGAUAGUUGAUCUUAUUAGUCCUCCGUUAAACAAGUGUCUUUGCUUUCAGCCUUGCCGAGAAACUGUCUGGUGCUUAAAUGAGAAAAAAUCCCAAGCCAGAUUCAGAACAGAAACAGAAGUGACCCAAAAUCACAGCCUCCUUUCUAGUGCAGUAAGUUUGUACACUUGGUCAGCUCUGUAAAUGGAAGGUCUCAGUGCACCAGGUCAUGCUAUUUGUGAAGUUACAUCUGGAAGGAAGGCUGAGGAAAGCCACAAUGGAGAAGUACUGAAUCUUUCUAUUGUAAAAUAAAGUUUUUAUAGAGCAGCCAUACCUCAAGUCAAGGACUGAGAAGGUGAGGACAUUCUACAGGGCUUCCAGAGGGAUAAUGACAUUGGCCAUCUAAAUUGUGUAAACUUGACUGAGAAUCAGAAGAAGGACAUCUUAGCAACUCGGAAGUUGCCUCCUUCAAAUUUCAGUUUCCUAAAACACUAAUGGGCUCAGGAGCUAGUCAGAAAUAUCGUUGUUGCAGAGUGCAGCUCUUACAAGGGUAUAAAUUUGCACAUUACUCCAGACAUCUGGUUGCUGUGUUCUGUGAGCGUUCUUUGUGUUUAACAACAGCAAGGAAGCAGUCUUGAUUUCGAUUCCCUUGAAAGACUGGUCCAAUGGCAAGAAAAUACUUGAGAGACAUAGCAAAUCCAAAGAACAUGUUCUCGCUAUAGCAAAGUCAGAUGAAUUCAUUGCAUUUGAGCACAAGAAAAAGUUGACAGACUGCAAUCAGCAUGCUCUGAAACAAAUAGUUAAAAUUACCAUCCUUUGUGGAAGGCAGAACAUUUUAAUGAGGUGAGAGGUAAUAAACACUAAGAUUAUACAUGCGCUUUCAUGUUAUAUCACAGGACUGGACCCUAAUUUGAAAGAGCAGCUUAGUUAUAGACCCUAUAGUACAGUGGACAUAUCAGAACAAACGCAAAAUGAGCUCACAAAAUUGGUAGGAGUCCAUAUACGGAGAAAGAUUAUAGAGAGUAAAAGCAGCACCAUUUUUCAGUUUAAUUGCUGAUGCAGCUAGUGCUUGUCUAGCAAAAGAAAACAUUUCACUGGCUAUACGUUACAUCCACUGAAAUGAAGAUGGGCAAGUAGAACUCCAUGAAGACUUCAUUGAUUUUAUAGAAGCCUUUGAUACAACACAAAGCCUUACAGAGCUUUUCAUGGCUAGAAUAGCCCCUUGGGGGGUUACAGAAGGAACUGCUGAGGGGCUAUGGCUGUAACAUGGUGAGCAAUAUAAGUGGUCAGAAGGCAAGAAUUUGUGAAAUCCUUCCAGCAGCAAUGCACUCAGCCUGCAGGAUGCACAAGCUGAACACAGCAAUUGUUCACUCUUGUGCAGUGCAACAAGUGGCUAACUUUUUUGAUGCUUUCUCCAAAAUCAUAACCACGCUGAAAGCUGUUGUAAAGUAUCCUAGCAUUCAGCCUACAGAGCUGCAGGAGCUCAUAGGCUUGUUGAAUAAACUCUGUGAGAAAGAAGAGGAUCAAAUUAUGGAGGGCGUGCCUUUGGAUUGCAGCACACAAUGGAUGAGUCAGAUGGGUACAAUGAGUAGCUUCAAAACAGUCUGUUGUGGUUGUUGAUUACUUAGAGAAAAUAGUUGAUAAUGAUGGUGAUGCUGAGAGAUUGUUGUAUUUCAUCACGAAAUUUGACUUUCUGGUUAAUAUGGUGUGCGUUGAAAACGUACUUUCAUGUACAAAAUCUCUGCACGUAUGUAUGCAGCAUUGUACUGUAUAUCUAAUUUAUGUAUUGGAUGAAGCAAAUAUUAUUCUUCAUAGACUCAGGAGAUUGAGAGCGGAUGACAACCCACAUUUUGCUUCCCUGUAUGCUGAAGUGAAAUGUUCGGCUGAUGCUGUUUCUGUUGAAGAGUCACUUCCAACCACACGUGGCGGAAAAAUGCAUUAUGAUAACAUCGGUGCCACAGAUCUUAGAGAAUAUGACAGGAGGAAUGUAUUCAUUCCAUUCCUGGACCAUGUAAUUUCAGAGCUUCAGAAGCAAGUGAUAGACUGCUCUUCACGUUUUCUUGCUCAGAUCCUUGUGCCAGAUAAACUUCAUGUAUUAGAGAAUGAAAAUACGGUGAUGGCUCUGAAUGAUGCAUACAAAGUGGACCUUUCUAACCUUGAUAAUUUUAAAGCAGAACUCAAAGAUGGCAUGAAAAAUGGAUAGACAUUCCAAGGGAUGAACAGCCAAACAGCAUUCUCAGUACUCUUCAAGAGCUGAUGCCAGCAUCCUAUCCUGAUCUCAACAUUGCCCUCUCUGUUGGGCCACCAUGCCAAUCAAUGUUGCUUUGGAAAACAUAUAAGGAUAUUGCAGACAGUCAAGACAUGGCUAAAAAGCUCUUUAUGUGAAAGUCAACUCACAGAGCUGGCUUUAAUACAUCAAGAUACUGAUAGUGAUGUGGUUCAGAUUUUGGAAGAUUUUUACUCCUCUAAACAUUAGCAAAAUGGUUUUGCUAAUGAGAGAAGGAUUCUGAGUGUGGCACAGAGAACAAGGGCCUUGCUGUGAAACAGCUGUACCCUUGAUUUUCUGUCCCUGUAGGUGGUGUAAUGAAAUAGUUCAAAUGUAUCUGAAAUUUAGUUUUUGUGAUGA